rnacentral:rRNA from 1 species
UACGGAGGGGGCUAGCGUUAUUCGGAAUUACUGGGCGUAAAGCGCGCGUAGGCGGUUUUCCAAGUUGGAGGUGAGAUCCCGGAGCUUAACUCCGGAACUGCCUUCAAAACUGGAUGACUAGAGUUCGAGAGAGGUAAGGGGAAUUCCUAGUGUAGAGGUGAAAUUCGUAGAUAUUAGGAAGAACACCAGUGGCGAAGGCGCCUUACUGGCUCGAUACUGACACUGAGGCACGAAAGCGUGGGGAUCAAACAGG